rnacentral:lncRNA from 1 species
AGGGGAUUUAUAAGGGCUAAUCAAAUUAAUAAUUUAAUACAAAUGCAUAAUCAAAUAGGAUUUACAAGGAAAUGAAUAAGAAGAAUUAAAAUUUGGGCCUCUUCCAAAUCUGCCAUCUUUUGGGCCCAGUCUUUAUGGUCUUUUGGUCCAUUUCUGCAGUUGUAUACCAGCUGUACACUGACUGUAUAUCAGCCUCGUUUUACCGCAUUUUUCAUACAUAUGACGUAUAUCAAUGUAUAGGAACCAGUAUACAUGUUUCCAGCUUUUCCAUGCAUCGUAUAUUGGCUUAAACCAGCAACCUUUACCUGCAAAUCCUGUAUAUCUGGUAUAUACCAGUGUAUACCAGCUUAGUUUCUUCAUGCUAGUCCCUUUGAGGACUUUUGGGAUUCAUAUCACAUGCAUCAAUUAAAAUAUAAGAAUUAGUGUAAUGUAAGAAUCAAGACUUAUGCUACUGUAAACAUGAAGUAGACAUGGUUAAGAGGACAUACGUAAAUGCUUUUGAAGUGAUUUAACAUUGAGAAUUGAUAUGGUGAAAAAGGACUAAAUUGAAACUUUGAGUUCAAUUAUUUUACCAGUGAGCUUCAACAUAUUAGCCUUUAUCACCCAAAAAGAACACAAAGCCAAUCUAGUGACUAUUUUUCAAUCAAACUUAAAGGUGCACAUGAACACAGAGAUGCAAGAAUUGGAAUAGAAAUUCGGUGCUAUCAGAAGGUUCACAUUUUUUAGAAAAUGACAAAAAAAUCACAACUUCAUUAUUUUAACUCAAAGGUGGAUCCCUAUUGCCUUUUCACUAUGAAGCAUGGUAAUGACAGAAAAAAGACAAUCCCAAAACUAAUAGAAAAAAACUAAACUUAAUGUCUGGAAAAAUAUUUCCUAUUAACUCAUGUAAACACGGUCUAUUUUGCAUUCAAAAUCUCUUGAGAAAUUCAUAAACAUGACAUAAUUGGCAUUCCAACGGUCAAUAGAAGAGCGAUAAGAACGGGGACUUUAAUGUCCUUCCCACACCACAUUCAAAAUCCAAACAACAUGUACCUCUUGUCGAUGCAUCAUACAGUGCUAUGUUGAUCAAACAGUUAGCACAACUAUUAGAUCUUACAGUUUUUUUCUUUUUACCAGCACGAUGUAUAAAAAAAACUCUCGACAAUCGAAACAGAUAAGGCUCAAAUUAAGAUCAGUCCCGAAUCGCCAAUAAGACAUCACAUUCUUAUAGAAUAAAUACGGAGGUAAGAUCUUUGGUGGUUCCAUCACCCAAACCAAUCUCUCAAUAACACCAAGUAUCAAAAUGCCAACAUUCCAUAUUGUAUCUUUCAAACAACAUAAAAAAAAGUAGAAGUUUUCACCUUCUUUGGAGCAGGAACCGGGAUCAAUAGCCUUGACAACGGAUUUCUACCGUCAGAGUUCUAACUGAAUUUCACCGAAAUUCAACAAUUUUACCGGAAUCUAAAAUAACUUCGUCGGAAUUUUUUUAAUUCUCUUUUCUUUUCAGUCGGAAUUGAUUUUUUCAAAUGUGUUUCUUCUCAGAUUCUCCGGUUACGUGGGAUUAGAGGAAUGCUCCUCCCGAAUCUCCAAUUUCCUCACAAAGAAUCCCCUUUUUUCCCCUCUACAAUUUUAGGGGGAGAUCGAAAGGGUAAAAAAGAAAAAAACUAGUCUGAAGUUUGAAUUUCAAAAAUUGGGACAAGCUUGAACGUUAUUGCUAAGUUGUUGUUGCAGCUGUGCGUUGUACCGCUGCUGUUAUGUGCAGCUAUUGCUGUUGUCGCGGAUAUUGUUGUUGUUAUAUGCAGGUGCUGUUACAGUGUUGUAUGAUGUUGGUGUUGUGGUUUGUCGUUGUUGUUUCAACGUUGUUUGGUGCGUCGUUAUAGCGUUGACGUCGCUGUCAUUUUGUUGAACGAAGUUGGGUAUUGUUGUUGUUAUUUGUCGGUUGUUGAUGAAGAG